rnacentral:tRNA from 1 species
GACUGCGUAGCUCAAUGGAUAGAGCGCUACCCUCCGGAGGUAGAGGCUGAGGGUUCGACCCCCUCCGCAGUCG